AUAAGAUGAGCUUGCGGCUGAUUAGCUAGUUGGCGGGGUAAAGGCCCACCAAGGCGACGAUCAGUAGCCGGCCUGAGAGGGCGAACGGCCACAUUGGGACUGAGAUACGGCCCAGACUCCUACGGGAGGCAGCAGUUAAGAAUCUUGGACAAUGGACGAAAGUCUGAUCCAGCGACGCCGCGUGAACGAUGAAGGUCUUCGGAUUGUAAAGUUCAAUAAGAUGGGACGAAAGAGCGAACGGUAAUAUUGUUCGUGUUGACGGUACCAUCCUAAAGCCUCGGCUAAAUACGUGCCAGCAGCCGCGGUAAUACGUAUGAGGCAAGCGUUGUUCGGAAUUAUUGGGCGUAAAGGGCAUCUAGGCGGGAUGUUAAGUCAGGUGUGAAAGCUAAGGGCUCAACCCUUAAAUUGCAUUUGAUACUGACAUUCUUGAGUUCAGAAGAGGAAGGCGGAAUACCCGGUGUAGCGGUGAAAUGCGUAGAUAUCGGGUAGAACACCGGUGGCGAAGGCGGCCUUCUGGUCUUGAACUGACGCUGACAUGCGAAAGUGUGGGGAUCAAACGGGAUUAGAUACCCCGGUAGUCCACACCGUAAA
rnacentral:rRNA from 1 species